GGUACUUUCAUACAACGCAAAAUACAAAUUGCAGCUUAGAAACGAGUCGCGUGAAACUUCAACCGCAGAAUAUUGUUGAAUGUCGAAGUACAACGACGAGUUCGAAGGAGCUAUAAAUCGGUGCAGAAGUAACAACUGAUACUUUAACGAUGGGUGGUACUAUCUCAGAUCAUAGCAAAAUGUUUUUAUGUCGUGGUCACAACCACCACCUACCUCAUACCCACCCUUACACCGUUGGUUGCCUGGAAGAAAACGAUAUGUA